rnacentral:rRNA from 1 species
GGGUCAGUAGGUUGGUCGUGCCAACGGUACGUACUGGUCUCACUGAUUCCUCCUUCCUGAAUAACCGUAAUGCCAUUAAUUUGGUUUUGCGGGGAAACAGGACUGUUACUUUGAAAAAAUUAGAGUGUUUAAAGCAAGCUAACGCUUGAAUACAUUAGCAUGGAAUAAUGAAAUAGGACGAUCGAUCCUAUUUUGUUGGUUUCUAGGAUUGACGUA